AAGUGAGAAGCAAACUAUUGCAAUCAGUUUCGACCUGAUGUUAGAUAAGAAAUUAUCCACACUUU
rnacentral:tRNA from 1 species